UUUGUAUAAUGGGUCAGCGACUUAUAUUCUGUAGCAAGGUUAACCGAAUAGGGGAGCCGAAGGGAAACCGAGUCUUAACCGGGCGUUAAGUUGCAGGGUAUAGACCCGAAACCCGGUGAUCUAGCCAUGGGCAGGUUGAAGGUUGGGUAACACUAACUGGAGGACCGAACCGACUAAUGUUGAAAAAUUAGCGGAUGACUUGUGGCUGGGGGUGAAAGGCCAAUCAAACCGGGAGAUAGCUGGUUCUCCCCGAAAGCUAUUUAGGUAGCGCCUCGUGAAUUCAUCUCCGGGGGUAGAGCACUGUUUCGGCAAGGGGGUCAUCCCGACUUACCAACCCGAUGCAAACUGCGAAUACCGGAGAAUGUUAUCACGGGAGACACACGGCGGGUGCUAACGUCCGUCGUGAAGAGGGAAACAACCCAGACCGCCAGCUAAGGUCCCAAAGUCAUGGUUAAGUGGGAAACGAUGUGGGAAGGCCCAGACAGCCAGGAUGUUGGCUUAGAAGCAGCCAUCAUUUAAAGAAAGCGUAAUAGCUCACUGGUCGAGUCGGCCUGCGCGGAAGAUGUAACGGGGCUAAACCAUGCACCGAAGCUGCGGCAGCGACACUGUGUGUUGUUGGGUAGGGGAGCGUUCUGUAAGCCUGUGAAGGUGUACUGUGAGGUAUGCUGGAGGUAUCAGAAGUGCGAAUGCUGACAUAAGUAACGAUAAAGCGGGUGAAAAGCCCGCUCGCCGGAAGACCAAGGGUUCCUGUCCAACGUUAAUCGGGGCAGGGUGAGUCGACCCCUAAGGCGAGGCCGAAAGGCGUAGUCGAUGGGAAACAGGUUAAUAUUCCUGUACUUGGUGUUACUGCGAAGGGGGGACGGAGAAGGCUAUGUUGGCCGGGCGACGGUUGUCCCGGUUUAAGCGUGUAGGCUGGUUUUCCAGGCAAAUCCGGAAAAUCAAGGCUGAGGCGUGAUGACGAGGCACUACGGUGCUGAAGCAACAAAUGCCCUGCUUCCAGGAAAAGCCUCUAAGCAUCAGGUAACAUCAAAUCGUACCCCAAACCGACACAGGUGGUCAGGUAGAGAAUACCAAGGCGCUUGAGAGAACUCGGGUGAAGGAACUAGGCAAAAUGGUGCCGUAACUUCGGGAGAAGGCACGCUGAUAUGUAGGUGAAGUCCCUCGCGGAUGGAGCUGAAAUCAGUCGAAGAUACCAGCUGGCUGCAACUGUUUAUUAAAAACACAGCACUGUGCAAACACGAAAGUGGACGUAUACGGUGUGACGCCUGCCCGGUGCCGGAAGGUUAAUUGAUGGGGUCAGCGCAAGCGAAGCUCUUGAUCGAAGCCCCGGUAAACGGCGGCCGUAACUAUAACGGUCCUAAGGUAGCGAAAUUCCUUGUCGGGUAAGUUCCGACCUGCACGAAUGGCGUAAUGAUGGCCAGGCUGUCUCCACCCGAGACUCAGUGAAAUUGAACUCGCUGUGAAGAUGCAGUGUACCCGCGGCAAGACGGAAAGACCCCGUGAACCUUUACUAUAGCUUGACACUGAACAUUGAGCCUUGAUGUGUAGGAUAGGUGGGAGGCUUUGAAGUGUGGACGCCAGUCUGCAUGGAGCCGACCUUGAAAUACCACCCUUUAAUGUUUGAUGUUCUAACGUGGACCCGUGAUCCGGGUUGCGGACAGUGUCUGGUGGGUAGUUUGACUGGGGCGGUCUCCUCCUAAAGAGUAACGGAGGAGCACGAAGGUUGGCUAAUCCUGGUCGGACAUCAGGAGGUUAGUGCAAUGGCAUAAGCCAGCUUGACUGCGAGCGUGACGGCGCGAGCAGGUGCGAAAGCAGGUCAUAGUGAUCCGGUGGUUCUGAAUGGAAGGGCCAUCGCUCAACGGAUAAAAGGUACUCCGGGGAUAACAGGCUGAUACCGCCCAAGAGUUCAUAUCGACGGCGGUGUUUGGCACCUCGAUGUCGGCUCAUCACAUCCUGGGGCUGAAGUAGGUCCCAAGGGUAUGGCUGUUCGCCAUUUAAAGUGGUACGCGAGCUGGGUUUAGAACGUCGUGAGACAGUUCGGUCCCUAUCUGCCGUGGGCGCUGGAGAACUGAGGGGGGCUGCUCCUAGUACGAGAGGACCGGAGUGGACGCAUCACUGGUGUUCGGGUUGUCAUGCCAAUGGCACUGCCCGGUAGCUAAAUGCGGAAGAGAUAAGUGCUGAAAGCAUCUAAGCACGAAACUUGCCCCGAGAUGAGUUCUCCCUGACCCUUUAAGGGUCCUGAAGGAACGUUGAAGACGACGACGUUGAUAGGCCGGGUGUGUAAGCGCAGCGAUGCGUUGAGCUAACCGGUACUAAUGAACCGUGAGGCUUAACCUU
rnacentral:rRNA from 1 species